GCAUGCAAGUCGAGCGGUAGCUCCUAUUGGUUAAAGCCGAUAGGAGUGAGAGCGGCGCACGGGUGAGUAACACGUAGGUAACCUACCCCAGAGAGGGGGAUAACAUCUCGAAAGGGGUGCUAAACCCCCAUAUACUUACCGAGCGAGAUGCUCAGGUAAGGAAAGGGUAUAGAGGGGUAACCCUCUAUGCUGCUCUGGGAUGGGCCUGCGGCCUAUCAGCUAGUUGGUGGGGUAAAGGCCCACCAAGGCUAAGACGGGUAGCCGGCCUGAGAGGGUGGUCGGCCACACUGGGACUGAGACACGGCCCAGACUCCUACGGGAGGCAGCAGCCGGGAAUCUUCCGCAAUGGGGGAAACCCUGACGGAGCGACGCCGCGUGAGGGAAGAAGCCCUUCGGGGUGUAAACCUCUUUUCUCGGGGAAGAAGGCAUGACGGUACCCGAGGAAAAAGCCCCGGCUAACUACGUGCCAGCAGCCGCGGUAAGACGUAGGGGGCGAGCGUUGUCCGGAUUUACUGGGCGUAAAGGGCGUGUAGGCGGCUUAGCAAGUCAGAUGUGGAAGCCCCGGGCUCAACUCGGGGAGGACAUCUGAUACUGCUAAGCUAGAGGGCAGGAGAGGAGAGCGGAACUUCCGGUGUAGCGGUGAAAUGCGUAGAUAUCGGAAGGAACGCCGGUGGCGAAGGCGGCUCUCUGGACUGUCCCUGACGCUGAGGCGCGAAAGCUAGGGGAGCGAACGGGAUUAGAUACCCCGGUAGUCCUA
rnacentral:rRNA from 1 species